AGCUUGCUGUCUUGUGGCUGAUAUCCUCAAGAUCACAAUGGACUCAGAGGACGUUGAUGGACCCAAUCCGGAGCAUCACUGCCAGUGGUCCCAGCUGCUUAGACGGAGGUAAUAAAGGCUCUGAUGCGCAGGAGACCGUGUUCCACCACGUGCCACAUCCUCACACAACAAGACUCUUCAUUUUCCGUGAGGAAUUGAGAAAACACAGGACAUGAGAAUUUUUGCUGUACGAUAUGGCAAACGCUCAUUUGCUCAGCCUGUCCCACCUCUCCAGGCAGGACGGGCUUCAGACAUUAGUGGGGAGUCCUGCCAAGAGCUGAAAGGAGGCAGCUUUGCCUGACUGCCAACUCAAGGGACUUGGCGUGCUCAGACGGCCUUUGUGGUUGUGGAUUAGGGUUGACUGAUUCCUGCUGCAAGCACUGUGAGACAAUUAUCACCACCAUCAUCACUAUCAUCCCAUCAUGAUCAUCAUCAUCACCAACAUCAUCAUUAUCAUCUCAUCAUCAUCUUCUUCUCAUCAUCACCAUCACCACCACCACUACCAUCACCACCAUCACCACCAUCAUCACCAUCAUUACUAGCAUCUUUAACCUUUUACUGUUUACUUAUUUAGUCUAGGCAUUGGGCUAAAUAAUAUAUAUAUGCUAUUUAAUCCCCAGAAACACUUGUAAGGGAGACAGAACUGUGGCUGAUUUUUUUUUUCACUUAACAUGAAUCCAGGGCUCAUUGGUUACCUUCUUUUUUUGGUGGCUGAGCAAUAUCCCAUCAAAGUGAUAUACCACACUUCAACGAUUUCCACAGUUUUUGAAAGUAUGUAUUUCUUAGUUCUA